rnacentral:rRNA from 1 species
AACGAACGCUGGCGGCAUGCCUAACACAUGCAAGUCGAACGAGACCUUCGGGUCUAGUGGCGCACGGGUGCGUAACGCGUGGGAACCUGCCCUUAGGUUCGGAAUAACUCCCCGAAAGGGGUGCUAAUACUGGAUAAUGUCUUCGGACCAAAGAUUUAUCGCCUUUGGAUGGGCCCGCGUUGGAUUAGCUAGUUGGUAGGGUAAAAGCCUACCAAGGCGACGAUCCAUAGCUGGUCUGAGAGGAUGAUCAGCCACACUGGGACUGAGACACGGCCCAGACUCCUACGGGAGGCAGCAGUGGGGAAUAUUGGACCAUGGGCGAAAGCCUGAUCCAGCAAUGCCGCGUGAGUGAUGAAGGCCUUAGGGUUGUAAAGCUCUUUUACCCGGGAUGAUAAUGACAGUACCGGGAGAAUAAGCUCCGGCUAACUCCGUG